rnacentral:rRNA from 1 species
GUGGGGAAUCUUGCACAAUGGGGGCAACCCUGACGCAGCGACGCCGCGUGAGCGAUGAAGCCCUUCGGGGCGUAAAGCUCUUUCGACCGGAACGAUAAUGACGGUACCGGGAGAAGAAGCUGCGGUUAACUACGUGCCAGCAGCCGCGGGAAUACGUAGGCAGCAAGCGUUGUUCGGAGUUACUGGGCGUAAAGAGUGCGUAGGCGGUUUUCUAAGUUCGGUGUGAAAUCUCCCGGCUUAACUGGGAGGGUGCGCCGAAGACUGGGAAGCUGGAGUGUGGGAAAGGCAAGCGGAAUUCCUGGUGUAGCGGUGAAAUGCGUAGAUAUCAGGAGGAACACCUGCGGUGUAGACGGCUUGCUAGACCAUAACUGACGCUGAGGCACGAAAGCGUGGGUAGCAAACA